rnacentral:rRNA from 1 species
GACGUAGGGCGCGAGCGUUGUCCGGAUUUAUUGGGCGUAAAGAGCUCGUAGGCGGCUUGUCGCGUCUGCUGUGAAAACGCGAGGCUCAACCUCGCGCCUGCAGUGGGUACGGGCAGACUAGAGUGCGGUAGGGGAGAUUGGAAUUCCUGGUGUAGCGGUGGAAUGCGCAGAUAUCAGGAGGAACACCGAUGGCGAAGGCAGAUCUCUGGGCCGUAACUGACGCUGAGGAGCGAAAGCGUGGGGAGCGAACAGG